AGCUCAUCAAGAGGGACAGAGGGAUACGGCCCUGUGAAGUCCCGGCAACCGCCGCGAGCCUCCGCCGCCCGGAACAUCGGGAUGCGGUUCGCGGAAACGGUGCCAAUUCCGUCCGGCGCGACCGUCGCAGCCGGAGAAGAUGAGAA
rfam:Nocardioides sp. Root1257 contig_2, whole genome shotgun sequence.